rnacentral:lncRNA from 1 species
AUCCAGCAGAGAUGUGGAAAAAUGUCUAAUCUAAGAAUGUGAAAAAUAAAACAUAAUCUGUGUUGUUUAUCACUUCUUUUUUCUACCUUGACUAAAUAAUUCGAUAUGUUUUUCUUUAUAGUUUGGAUAACUUUUGUAUUCAUUUACAAUGCAUAUAAUUUUAAAAAGAAUAAAAAAUAAUGGAAUUUAACCACUGAGUAUUUAUAGUUGUUUUUUAUUUUUAUUUAAAAUGAGCAUAAUAUAUUAUAUUCUCUAAUGUCGUUUAAAUACUGCAUUUUUUUCUUAUAGUCAGCGUGCAUGUUCAAAUGAAAAUUUAAGCAAAACUGCUGAUGUGUGCGAAUCCAAUCUUUACGAUAACAAUGUGAAGGAUGACGAUAUUUACGCCAACACCAUGGAGAUAGAAGAGAUUUCUACAGAGAAGAACUCAGAUUGCAGUAAUGGGGCGACACAGCGUUCUCAACAUUUAUCUAACUGUUUCAGUGCUGAUCUGUCUGUGCCAUGGUUGGGACGUUAAGGUGCCAGAAUCAGUUACAGCUGUUGAGGGCAGCUGUGUUACACUACCAUGCAAAACCAGCUCACACUCUCAUGUGGUUUGGUACUGGGACAUUACAGGUAGAGACCCAAUAGUGUAUUCCAGCAACAAUGGAGAUAUAACAGACAAUUUCAGAGGAAGAACAUCAGUCCCAGGAGAUCCUGCAGAAGGAGACUGCAGCCUGAGGAUCGACAGAGUUCGCCCAGAAGACAACGAUAAAAAACUGUAUCCAUGGAUCCAUCCUGACACCGGUAACCAAUAUCAUUACAUCAAAAUAAAAACUGGUGAGUAUUCAUUAAUGCCACUUACAACUUUACUACUCUACACAACACAAGCCUUAUAUUCACCAUGUCCAUCUAGAAGCUCCGCCCACUUCUCUACUACAAUACAAAGUAACUUUAUAUU